rnacentral:misc_RNA from 1 species
GUUGGACUGCUAGGUUGCUACCCUCUAGACAGUUUGGAUUCAUUGUCUUGACAACAUCUGCGGGAAUCAUGGAUCACGAAGAGGCCAGAAGAAAGAAUGUUGGUGGUAAAGUGCUUGGUUUCUUUUACUAAGCAAUGUCGUGAGAUUGAUUUUUCUUCUUUUUGGUACUUUCUGUACUUUUGAACUUAAAUGGGAAGCAGUAGAGAGUCCUGUUUUGUUUUUAGUUGCUGUUUUGGUUGGUGGGAGAGGAUACAGGAUUUGACCUGCAUUCUUUUUGAAGACGUUGAUAUUGUUUAAUGAGCCCUUUUUUCUUAAUCUAUGAGUUUUAUUUGUUCGCCAUACUGAAACUGAAAUUGUUGUAGUUAUCAAG